GCACGCCUCUUGCUGCGUACUGCUGGAUUGCUGCUGUUACGCAGAGACUGCAAGUGAGCUCUGCCGACCUCGCAUCGCCCGCCCGCGCUUCCAGUCCUGCUCCUCGACGACUCGCUCCUCUUCAUCAGUCGGCGACUCCGGACAGCGCGUGAAGGGCGGUGAAGGAUGGCGAGUGGCAGGAGGAAGUGACUGGGGGUCUCGUCUGGUCGCCUGUCUCGCGGGUGAUCCUGCUCCGGCGCUACUUCUUGCUCCGACACGGCCGUACCGUCGGCAGCCUAAAGUCAGCUACACACACUCUUGGCACACUGUUCUG
rnacentral:misc_RNA from 1 species